rnacentral:rRNA from 1 species
CCCUUAGAUGUUCUGGGCUGCACGCGCGCUACACUGUCGGAUUCAGCGAGUCAUAUCCUUAACCGAAAGGUUUGGGUAAUCUUUUGAAAGUCCGACGUGAUGGGGAUUGAUCAUUGCAAUUAUUGAUCAUGAACGAGGAAUUCCUAGUAAGCGCGAGUCAUCAGCUCGCGUUGAUUACGUCCCUGCCCUUUGUACACACCGCCCGUCGCUACUACCGAUUGAAUGGUUUAGUGAGAUCUUCGGACUGGCGCCUACGCGGCUUCUCUGAGGCCACGCUGGAUGCCGAAAAGUUGCUCAAACUGUAUCAUUUAGAGGAAGUAAAAGUCGUAACA